rnacentral:lncRNA from 1 species
GGAUUGAACCCAAGGGCUUCUAGCAUGCUAGGGACCUCAGGGCAGUGCUGAGUUUACCAGGAAGGUAUUACCAAGCAGGAAGUUUGAUGUCCUGGAGGCACCUGACAGCUCUCAUGAACCCAGAGCAGUAUGGAAGACUUGGAGGAGCAGGACCAUUUGGACGCACGAUGUUGGUAAGCAAUGCUAGCCACACGGACCAGGUUCCUGCACAUUCGGAAUUUUUGUGGAUCCUGGAAUAGAGACACAUUCUGAUGACUAAGACCAGAGGACAAAGGCUUUCCAGUGCAAUGCAUAGCAGCACAGAAGCAUACAAGGAGGCUUCGUAGAGGGAGGGACCCCCUGCACAGGACCCAGGCUUGGAACCAGUCAUUGGCCAGACACAGAAAGGGAUAGUUGUUCCAAGUAAAGAACAGCCUCUGAGUGGAGCCUGCAGAGUGGAGGAAGGAUGCGGCUGAAAUCCUGGACCAGGCAGAGGACCACAGCACUCCCAGAACUAGAUAGCAAGGCAAGAAGCUUGUGGCAAGAUAAGAGUGUAUAGUUUCAAGGAACAAGAUGUUGAACUCUCAGCUCCU